UUUAAUAUUAAAAGGCAAAAAAAUUAACCUAGCUUUGUGGGUCUCUCGACCCCGUCGACUCGUCGACUCGCGACCCGAAUUUUCACUUCAUCGACCCGGUGCGCCCCGCGACCCUAACAACACUGGGACCUACAAGGAAAGGCCUCUGCAGCUGUUGGGGUGAAGGGGCCGGCUGGACUGCCUCACAGCCCUUCGGUACUGGUUAAGAGGGUAGGUCGCUGCAGGCUGUUGCAGGUCCUUGCUGCCUUCAUUCCUACUCAUUUAGAGGCUAUGGUUAACUACCGAGGGCUGUUUCCUUGAUGUCUCGGCCCAUUGGGCUUCCUAGAAUUUGGGCCGAGACGGCCUGAAGAUAAUGGCCGAUGAAGUUUCUAGAAUCUCUGAUUGUAAUAGAGUAGUUCUCUACUUGUACUCUUUUGUCUUUUUUUCAACAUGUAAGCUAAUAUUUAUAAUAGUUGGUGCGUAGUUCAUUUCCCCUAUUUUCAUUGUCAGGCAUUUGUAAUUUAAGACUUAGCUUGCAAUUCUAUACAUUGUAUUUCGUUUACUUAGGAAAUAAAUAAAUACUCUUUCGCUUC